rnacentral:lncRNA from 1 species
CGCUUAUCUUCUGCAUUAUGAAUUCCCCCCCCCCCCUCCCUUUUUUUUAAAUCUUGGGCCUUCUAUUAGGCUGUUGCUUUUUGAAACUUGAAAAAAUGACCAGGCCUAAUUCAAAUAAACCCCCAUGAUCCAUAUAUACCAAAAACUAAAAAGAGGCAUCAGAUGAGAUUUGAGAAGACAUACGCAAUGUGCUGUGAGCAGAAACCCUCAUCCACGUUGGAAGUUCCACGCCUCCCGGCUCCACCUCCCGCUGCCGUGCGAGUUGCUACAGUCCGUCGUGUUGCCGACAUACUCCGGACCGAACUCUUGGAUGGACCUCCCUUGAGCAGACUGCAGACAGCAGUAACUAGUGGAGAGAGCCCUUCUCCUUCAUUGUUCUGUAACUUCUGUUGUUCUCCUCUUUCCUUUUUUUUUUUGUUUCGGUGUUAUUUUUUAUUUAUAAGUUAUGAAUAAUGAUUUAUGUUCGAUGAGUUUACUUAUAAAAAAAAUUUAUGUUGGAUGUAUUAAUUGACAAUUUGGUAUUAAAAUAAGAAUUGUGAAUCUGUGUUUGUUAGAUAAAUAAUUUAUGUUGGUCAUUGAGUUUUUGAUAUCUAGCAACUUGAUUGCAGCAAUGUGUAUAUAUUUCGAGGGUUUAUUCUUUCUUUAAAUGAAUUGAGAUGUUUAUCUAUUCGUGUUUGUUUUACUUCAGUAAUUUUUUCUAGUAGUUUGUUAGUAAUUUACAGCUUUUUAUGACAUUGAUUAAUUAUUUGGUAAAGUGAUUAUUCUAUUCAAUUUGAAAUUUACAAAAUUCUAUUUCAGCGUUUGGAUUUACAUAGUGAUAGUAGUUUUUGCCUCGUGGCAAUGCAAAUCACAGUGAUCAAGCCUUUAAAAGCUCA